rnacentral:rRNA from 1 species
AGUCGAGCGGUAGCACAGAGAGCUUGCUCUCGGGUGACAAGCGGCGGACGGGUGAGUAACGCGUAGGAAUCUACCUAAUAGUGGGGGAUAGCCCAGGGAAACUUGGAUUAAUACCGCAUACGCCCUAAGGGGGAAAGCGGGGGAUCUUCGGACCUCGUGCUAUUAGAUGAGCCUGCGUAAGAUUAGCUAGUUGGUGAGGUAAGAGCUCACCAAGGCGACGAUCUUUAGCUGGUCUGAGAGGAUGAUCAGCCACACUGGGACUGAGACACGGCCCAGACUCCUACGGGAGGCAGCAGUGGGGAAUAUUGGACAAUGGGGGCAACCCUGAUCCAGCCAUGCCGCGUGUGUGAAGAAGGCCUUCGGGUUGUAAAGCACUUUCAGAUGUGAGGAAAGGUUGCAGAUUAAUACUCUGUAGCUGUGACGUUAACAUCAGAAGAAGGACCGGCUAACUCCGUGCCAGCAGCCGCGGUAAUACGGAGGGUCCGAGCGUUAAUCGGAAUUACUGGGCGUAAAGCGCGCGUAGGUGGUUUCGUCAGUCAGAUGUGAAAGCCCAGGGCUCAACCUUGGAACUGCACCUGAUACUGCGGAACUAGAGUACGAUAGAGGGGAGUGGAAUUUCCGGUGUAGCGGUGAAAUGCGUAGAGAUCGGAAGGAACACCAGUGGCGAAGGCGACUCCCUGGAUUGAUACUGACACUGA